rnacentral:rRNA from 1 species
CCUACGGGAGGCAGCAGUGGGGAAUAUUGGACAAUGGGCGGAAGCUUGAUCCAGCCAUGCCGCGUGUGUGAAGAAGGCCUUUUGGUUGUAAAGCACUUUAAGCGAGGAGGAGGCUACUUAGAUUAAUACUCUAGGAUAGUGGACGUUACUCGCAGAAUAAGCACCGGCUAACUCUGUGCCAGCAGCCGCGGUAAUACAGAGGGUGCGAGCGUUAAUCGGAUUUACUGGGCGUAAAGCGUGCGUAGGCGGCUGAUUAAGUCGGAUGCGAAAUCCCUGAGCUUAACUUAGGAAUUGCAUUCGAUACUGGUCAGCUAGAGUAUGGGAGAGGAUGGUAGAAUUCCAGGUGUAGCGGUGAAAUGCGUAGAGAUCUGGAGGAAUACCGAUGGCGAAGGCAGCCAUCUGGCCUAAUACUGACGCUGAGGUACGAAAGCAUGGGGAGCAAACAGGAUUAGAUACCCUGGUAGUCCAUGCCGUAAACGAUGUCUACUAGCCGUUGGGGCCUUUGAGGCUUUAGUGGCGCAGCUAACGCGAUAAGUAGACCGCCUGGGGAGUACGGUCGCAAGACUAAAACUCAAAGGAAUUGACGG